AUUGAACGCUGGCGGCAGGCCUAACUCAUGCAAGUCGAGCGGAUGAAGGGAGCUUGCUCCUGGAUUCAGCGGCGGACGGGUGAGUAAUGCCUAGGAAUCUGCCUGGUAGUGGGGGGUAACGUCCGGAAACGGGCGCUAAUACCGCAUACGUCCUGAGGGAGAAAGUGGGGGAUCUUCGGACCUCACGCUAUCAGAUGAGCCUAGGUCGGAUUAGCUAGUUGGUGGGGUAAAGGCCUACCAAGGCGACGAUCCGUAACUGGUCUGAGAGGAUGAUCAGUCACACUGGAACUGAGACACGGUCCAGACUCCUACGGGAGGCAGCAGUGGGGAAUAUUGGACAAUGGGCGAAAGCCUGAUCCAGCCAUGCCGCGUGUGUGAAGAAGGUCUUCGGAUUGUAAAGCACUUUAAGUUGGGAGGAAGGGCAGUAAGUUAAUACCUUGCUGUUUUGACGUUACCAACAGAAUAAGCACCGGCUAACUUCGUG
rnacentral:rRNA from 1 species